CCCACUACAGGAAGAAAAAAAGGAGAAGAAAAGAACACACGAGAGGGCAUGGCACGCCUCCGCCUCCGCCUCCGCCUGGCACUUCGCUUUCCUCCCUGGACCAAAGUGAAAUCACUACAGUGUGGAAAGCAGAAGGUGGUGAUCAGCAAAAGGAGGCUUCGACGUCACAAAAGCUUCUUUCGAUUUCCUGACGACAGAUAUAUAAUAUCCAUACGCACAGUGGAUGAGACGCUGUGAUUACUCUGCAUCUUAACCGAGUGGUAUUCAUCUUCUCUUCCAUUCAUAGUGAUCCAAGAGAAGAGAAAGUAUUACGACAGUAGUGUCCCACUAUCCCUGUCUCCGAGCAAAAGCAAAUGCUUCGACCUCCUAUUCUCAUCGUUUAGCCGCGUGAUGCCGAGGUUUGGAAGAGACAGCUGCUGCUGCUGCUGCAAUAAUGCUUUCAGAAUUAUUCCUACUGCACUGUUGUCUAAUUUGACACCAUGAAACCAAUUGCUCCCCUCCUUAUUUCUCUACCACAGUAUUGUGUCUAAGAUCGUAUGGAAAAUAUGGAGAUCAUCAAUGAGAGGAGGGUUCCUCUCCAACCUACUGAGCUCUCUCGGCGUUCUCACAGUCUCGGCUGCAGAUGAUGAUGCAAGCUUUUGCUUGGGUUAAUGGUGGCUACUUUGUGGACCACAUUUCUAUUAUUCCUUCUUUUCUUACAUAUGGCAACACCCAAUCAGAAAAGCCUCGUUAUACUCAUUAUCACUUCCACACCCUCCUCAUCUCUCUUCUUCUAUCUUCUUUCUUCUCCUCUCCUCUUCUCCCUCUCUCUCUCUCUCUCUCUCUCUCUCUCUCUCUCUCUCUCUCUCACACACACACACACACACCCUUCUUUCCUUUUUCUGUUCUUCCUACAUGCAGAUCUACUGAGUACAUCAGGAGGGGUAUGUGUGCAUCAAAAGCAGCUGAAGCUGCCAGCAUGAUCUGAUGGCUGCUCCUUCUCUAUCCUCUCACAACUUCACAAGGAAUCAAUCAGAUCAUCUGGCAGUUUCAUCUGCUGAUGGGAGCACAACAAAACCCUAAACCAGUUUCCAUCGAGAUGCCAGCCCAUGAAGAAAGACACCACAAGGUUCAGCAUGUCUGAUAGUUUGUACGAUGUGGAGGAGGAAUUGAUGGAAGAGAACCCGACAAAGGAGCCAUGAGAAGCUCGGAUGGGGGAAAGAAAGGGCCAUUAGGGUUUUGGUUUUGGAAGGAACACUACCACCUUGUUCUUGGAAUGAAGCUUGACAUCAAAUCCUGAUCGGUGAGAUGAUGCCUUUGAUCUCUUCUUGGUCAUGACCUCAGUAUCAUUAGCUUCUGCCAUUCUCCUUGACUGAGAAAUAGGAUAAUAAUCCAUCGAUGGCACUGUUUGCAAUCAGACAGAUACCUAUGACAGAUAAGGACAUUGAUUCAUGCUUCAUGAUGCUGCAACUCAUUUUGUUUGUUGGAAUAAGCUUAUUACACAACCAUAAGACUGUGCAUGCUUGAAAUCACUAGAUUCGCUUCGAUUCGAAA